rnacentral:rRNA from 1 species
GAUGAACGCUAGCGAUAGGCUUAACACAUGCAAGUCGAGGGGCAGCAUGGUCUUAGCUUGCUAAGGCUGAUGGCGACCGGCGCACGGGUGCGUAACGCGUAUGCAACUUGCCUCACAGAGGGGGAUAACCCGUCGAAAGACGGACUAAUACCGCGUACACUCUAUGUUGGGCAUCCAAUGUAGAGGAAAUGAAAUUCGCUGUGAGAUAGGCAUGCGUCCCAUUAGCUAGUUGGUGAGGUAACGGCUCACCAAGGCGACGAUGGGUAGGGGAACUGAGAGGUUGAACCCCCGCACUGGUACUGAGACACGGACCAGACUCCUACGGGAGGCAGCAGUGAGGAAUAUUGGUCAAUGGGCGAGAGCCUGAACCAGCCAAGUCGCGUGAAGGAUGACUGUCUUAUGGAUUGUAAACUUCUUUUAUACGGGAAUAACAAGAGUCACGUGUGGCUCCCUGCAGGUACCGUAUGAAUAAGCAUCGGCUAACUCCGU